rnacentral:rRNA from 1 species
UACGUAGGUGACCAGCGUUGUCCGGAUUUACUGGGCGUAAAGAGCGCGCAGGCGGUCGUUCAAGUCGAGUGUGAAAGCCCCCGGCUCAACUGGGGAGGGUCAUUCGAUACUGAUCGACUCGAAGGCAGGAGAGGGAAGCGGAAUUCCCGGUGUAGUGGUGAAAUGCGUAGAUAUCGGGAGGAACACCAGUGGCAAAGGCGGCUUCCUGGCCUGUUCUUGACGCUGAGGCGCGAAGACUAGGGGAGCAAACGGG